CCUCCCACACUCCGCUAUUCUGAGCUCUUCAAGGGCAAGGGGUGGCCUAGACCGGGUACUCUAGUCAAUUUACAAUAGUUUCAAAGUAUGAUUCAAUUAUUGUGUGAGAAAAUAUGCAGUUUCCAGAGUUCCCAGGGGCAGCCUGGAGGGUUCUGGAUGAAUCCUACAUUAUGAAUUUUCUAAGUAUUAGUCUGUAUGUGUUUGUUAAGACUGUGCGUUCUCUGAGGGUGGAGCCCAUGCCAUGCCCAUCCCUGCAUCUUUUCACACAAAGUACAUAACAAGCACUUGGCACCACUAAAGGCUGAAAGAAUGUUUGCACAGUGAAUAAGAAAAAAGCAGAACAACAAACUAACCUAUUAACACAUUCAUUGAUUAGGCUACCUGUUUAUAGUUUAAUAAAAGGGUCAACUGAAAAUGGAUUUUAAAAGUUGAAUAGCGUGCAA
rnacentral:lncRNA from 1 species